UAAAGCGUGCGCAGCGGUUAUGCAAGACAGAUGUGAAAUCCCCGGGCUCAACCUGGGAACUGCAUUUGUGACUGCAUAGCUAGAGUACGGUAGAGGGGGAUGGAAUUCCGCGUGUAGCAGUGAAAUGCGUAGAUAUGCGGAGGAACACCGAUGGCGAAGGCAAUCCCCUGGACCUGUACUGACGCUCAUGCACGAAAGCGUGGGGAGCAAACAGGAUUAGAUACCCUGGU
rnacentral:rRNA from 1 species